rnacentral:misc_RNA from 1 species
GGAAGGAUCAUUAAUGAAUUGUAAUCGGAGUUGAUGCUGGCGGCUUGUCUGCAUGUGCUCGCUCUUAACAAUCUUUAUCCAAACACCUGUGCACAUUUAGAGAGGGGUCUCCGAGUUCUCCUUUGAGUCCCUUCCUCUCAUUAUACACUAGUUUUCAAUAUUGAACGUGAUUGUGCCGUGAGGCCUUAAUAUCAAUACAACUUUUAACAACGGAUCUCUUGGCUCUCGCAUCGAUGAAGAACGCAGCGAAAUGCGAUAAGUAAUGUGAAUUGCAGAAUUCAGUGAAUCAUCGAAUUUUUGAACGCACCUUGCGCUCCCUGGUAUUCCGGGGAGCACGCCUGUUCGAGUGUCGUGAAAUUCUCAAACCGGGAUGCUUUUUUUGUUUCUCGGCUUGGUUUUGGGCUUUGCAGUUCCUUUGAUUGGGAUGGCUGGCCUCAAAAGCAUUAGCUGGCUUUUCAUGUGGUAUUGGUUCUACUCAGCGUGAUAAUGAUCUGACCGCCGAGGACAUCUUUCGAGAUGGCCAAUUCUCAUUUGGGCUGCUUCUAAUUUUGGUAGAGCGGAUUCUGAAUCUGUUCCACUUUUUCAGCUUUUGACCUCGAAUCAGGUGGGACUACCCGCUGAACUUAAGCAUAUCAA